rnacentral:rRNA from 1 species
UGAAGCGAGACGGAGACGUUAAGCGAAACCCAAAAAAGUAAGUCUCAGUUCGGAUUGAAGGCUGAAAUUCGCCUUCAUGAAGCCGGAAUCGCUAGUAAUCGCGGAUCAGAAUGCCGCGGUGAAUACGUUCCCGGGUCUUGUACACACCGCCCGUCACACCAUGGGAGUUGGAAAUGCCCGAAGUCAGUGGCCCAACCGGAAGGGGGGAGCUGCCGAAGGCAGGUUCGAUGACUGGGGUGAAGUCGUAACAAGGUAUC